GGGCAUGGUGGCACAUGCCUGUAAUCCCAGCUGCUCAGGAGGCUGAGACAGGAGGAUCACUUAAACACGGGAGGCAGAGUGAGCCGAGAUUGCGCCACUGCA